GUUGCUAAUAACUAAAAUAUAAUUUAUUUAUAAAAUAAUUACUUAUUCUUUUUUUAUAGGAAUCAAUUUGAUCACGAUCCUCCUGCUAUAGUACCAGCUCAGAUCAAUGCCAUAGUCCCACGACGAAAGAGUCAAGAAUCCACCGACGAUACAGAGCUCCAUGAUGAACUUUAAUAGAAAUUAGAUUGUUACAAUAUGAUACAACAAUAUACCAUUGCUUAUAUUGAAUCCUACAUUUGAAAAUAACUAUUUUAACACAGUAUUUUUCACAUUUAUUUUAUAUUUUCUUUCACUUCUAGUGUAA
rnacentral:sRNA from 1 species